AAUUGAAUAUCUGAUCAAGGUGCCCGAGAGGGCUUGAUAGGGAAGAGGGGUGCCGCUCUCAGUAACGAGCCAUUCCCCCGCGGACCCGCCGCUGUAAGCGAUGACGAAGGGCAGUAUGCCACUGGUGAAUAACCGGGAAGGCGCCCGGAGGAUGACUCGCGAGCCAGAAGACCUGCCUUUUGAUUAUUGCCACAG
rnacentral:ncRNA from 22 species